rnacentral:rRNA from 1 species
GGAGAGGAAAGCGGAAUUCCCAGUGUAGACGGUGAAAUGCGUAGAUAUUGGGAGGAACAACAGUGGCGGAGGGGGGCUUUCUGGACUGCAACUGACGCUGAGGCUCGAAAGUCCAGGGGAGCGAACGGGAUUUAGAUACCCCGGUAGUCCUGGCCCGUAAACGAUGGAUACUAGGUGUGGGAGGUAUCGACCCCUACCGUGCCGGAGUUAACGCAAUAAGUAAUCCCGCCUGGGGAGUACGGUCGCAAGACUGAAACUCAAAGGAAUUGACGGGGACCCGCACAAGCGGUGGAGUAUGUGGUUUAAUUCGAAGCAACGCGAAGAACCUUACCAGGCCUUGACAUUGACUGUAAGAGUUAGAGAUAGCUCCCUCUCUUCGGAGACAGGAAAACAGGUGGUGCAUGGCUGUCGUCAGCUCGUGUCGUGAGAUGGUGGGUUGAGUCCCGCAAUGAGCGCAACCCCUGUUCUUUGUUGCCAUCACGUAAAGGUGGGCACUCAAAGGAGACUGCCGCGGAGAACGCGGAGGAAGGCGGGGAUGACGUCAAGUCAUCAUGCCCCUUAUGGUCUGGGCUACACACGUACUACAAUGAAACGGGCAGAGAGCAGCGAACCCGCGAGGGCAAGCGAACCUCAAAAACCGUUUCCCAGUUCGGAUUGCAGGCUGCAACUCGCCUGCAUGAAGUCGGAAGCGCUAGUAAUCGCAGGUCAGCAUACUGCGGUGAAUACGUUCCCGGGUCUUGUACACACCGCCCGUCACACCCCGGAAGUAAUUCACACCCGAAGCCGGCGCAGCCGUCUAAGGUGGGGAAGUUUAAAGGGUGAAGUCGUAACAAGGUAGCCG